CACAAAAAGAUGCUGAGAGAGGUUUUUAGAAGGGAUAGAAAUAUGCAGCUCCUUCUCCUUGUGAUAAGUGGUAUGGGUGAAGCUGCAGGGAUUUUGGAGAAGUAGCCAGAGGAAGUUAAAGUGGUACAUUUUAUUGCUUUGUCUAGGGGCCACAAUUGCCCUGAGACCCACAAAAGAAACUUAAUGUCACACUAACUCCAAGAAAAUGAUAUCACAUUGUUCUAUGAAGAGACACUCAGAGAAUUCAACCAAAAGAAAGAGAAGUAUUAUAGAGGUAUGC